GCUCCCAGACACGGAUUUGAGGCAAGUGCAUGCUUGUUUCCUGUCCAGUGGAGUCUUAGCCAUACCGUUCAGACUUUUGACCCCGCUGCAACACCCUGGUGGCAAAACACCGCCCAUCUUCAGGUAAUUCAUGCACUGACUUAGUGAGCUUGUCACUUGUCCACAGGUCAGUCCCUCUACUGCAUCAGGUGCACUCAAGCUCAAUAGUGCCACCAGACCGAUAAUUGCCAGAGCUGCCUUGGAAACUGUCAUGCUUGCCAUAGUUUGAAACAAACUUUCUCAAGAUCUUCUGAAAAGCUAUAUGAGUACACUAAUGCUGAUCACUAGUUGGCUUAUGAACUCACAAGAGUGUAGAAUACACCUUUUAUAGCGAAAUUAAGUGGCCUAAUGGAGAUUAAUUUUGAAACUGAUGUAAGUAGUUGAUUAGUUGGGAGUUGUAGAAUUAAUGAAUUGUGUGUUGUCACUUACAUAUCAACACAACAAUGAAUUCGUUUGUUUCCUCUUCAUUUUACACCUACACAAAAUGAACAUAGUAUAUGUGGCGUUUUACGUAGUGACAUUCCACCGGCUAGCUAGAAUCAAGACAGUGUUAAGAAACAGAGGAUGAACAGACAUUUAUCUACCAAAUUAAUAACGACUAGUACUCUUGCCCAAUAACAGAGAAACACAAUUGCGAGGUUGGAUUCGUAUCUUUCUAAAUAAGUGUACUUUCAUUCUCGUAUGAUAUCUAGCAGAUAGUAGUACUAGAUACUGCUAACUCUGGUGGAAAGUGUCAAAUUUUGCUAAUAGAAAUGAGAAUUAAUUGCAAAACGCAUCCCUGUGGUAUGGCUCAAUUACACUUUAUUACCAAAACUUUAGAUAAUUGCACAACGCGUCUUUUAAUAUAUUUUAGCGCCACGUGUUUGAAUCGUUUAGCCCAUUUUCAUCUAUUUUGACCUAUCAUUAUGUCAAAAUAAAAGGGUAAAAUAGACUUAAGAAUCUACAACAUUAUAUUUUAGUUAAUUCUUAAGUCUAUUUCACUUUUAAUUCACACGGUGAUAGGUCAAAAUAGACAAAAUGGAUCAAAAGGUUUCAAAUGUGGCGUCAAGACAUUUUAAGGGAUGCGUUGUGAAAUUAUAUAAAGUUUAGGUGAAAAUGUGCAAUUGACUCAAACUAAAGGAAUGUAUUUUGCAAUUAACUCUAAAAAAAAAUAUAUUUGAUCUUUUUUAACUGUUGCUUAUUUCCGGUGUGAAAUGCUUUAAUAUAUCCACUGUGAAAACGGGAUAAGGUGUGAGUUCUGUAAGUGCUGGAUUUGUAUUGAAGGAGUUGUGUUAUUGAAAUGCAAGUAGCUGUAGCAUAACAACCCGUGCAAUUCUGCUUUACUUGACCCGUUAGUGUAAAUAAGUAUGAAGUACUUUUAAGAAGUCUUGAGAAUAAAGUUGAAAGUAGAAAAUGCUAGCUUUUCUUUACAACUUAUGAUUCUUUUCUAAACACUUUGAUAACUUAUAAUUAUUAAUUUACUUCUCACUUCUACCUUUUUUAAGCUAAACCAAACAGCCUCUACAGAAAAUCUUUCGAGGAGCUACUAGCAAGGUAAUUACAAGGCCGUUUGGGCAAGUUUAAAAAUAGUGACUUUUUGUUUGAAAUAAAGAAGUAGAUAAGUUAAUAAAGUGUUGGAAAAAGAAGUAGAAAGGUCUGAGAGAAAAUUUAGCAUUUCCAACUUCUUAAAAGUACUUCUGUUUAUUUACACAAACGGGUCAAGAAAAACAUAAACCCGAAGCAGCUUAUACUUCUCUUUAACAAACGGGCGCACAUCUUGCAGAGGUUUCAUUCAAAAACUUUUUCUUUUUUAUUUUUAUGUAGUGCAUUCAUGGUGAUGAUUUAGCUUUCUUUUAUAGUUUUUUCGAUUUACAGUUUUCUGCUGCAAUUGCAGAGCUACCUAAAAUAGCCCACGAUUGCUUUUUAGUUAUAAAUUAAAUUACAAAAUGUCUUUUUUGUUUAGUUAAAUUUUUUCAAUCACUAGCUAGUGGUAAUCUCCAGUAGAUGUAAUUUACUUGCUUUGAAGAAAAUUAGGGUAUAAACAGCAUGGAUCAUAGUUCAAUAUCAUCACCCUGCAAAGGUUUACAUGGUUAUGAGAUGUCGAUCCACCACCACAACUUUAUUGAGGGAACAUUACUAGAGCCUCCUUAUCCCAUUUCAUAUUACAUCAUAAACACAACUAUGUAUAAUGUAGAAAAAGGAACAUAUAGAUAAACUUGGCACAUAUAGCAGCUUGUACCAUAAAAUCCGCGCCUCUAAACUCUAAAGCAUGCAUCGAUUGAACUGCUCUAACUGCACCCUGCAAAACACAUAUGUGUAAAAUUCAAACAUUUUAAAAUGUACCCUUGAAUAAUAAUAGAUGAUAACAUAAUUGUGUAGGAAUUAGGUAAGGGAGGCAUUUAUAAUUACUUAGAACAGUCUUGCCAGGGCUGAUCUUAUAAGGAAUGCUGACUCCGCACUUUCCAGGAAGCCCAGCUGCCAAACCAUAGUUGAUGCCCUUGAUGCUCCCGAACACGGAUUUGAGGCAAGUGCAUGCUUGUUUCCUGUCCACCGGAGUCUUGGCCAUACCGUUCAGACUUCUGACCCCGCUGCAACACCCUGGUGGCUGGUGGCAAAACUAUUGAUCAUUGGAUCUUUUUAGUAGUUAUAACUUUGGGCCGUUUGCUUUGGGAAUAACUACUACUAUAACUACUUUGGGCCGUUUGUUUUGAGAAGUGAGCUUAAAAUGGAAAGAAACAUACUCUAUUUGAUUAUAAGUGAUAAGUUAACUAGAUUUAGAAGUUAUUAAAAGUGUUUUGAAUAACUUUUACUUAGAAGUGUUGGUAAUUUAAAUUUAUAGAUUAGAAAAAAAUUCAAAUUAUUAAAAUAAAAAAUUUUUAUUAAUAAAUAAAGUUUAUUAUAUAUUAAAUUUUAAUAUAUUCAUGAUAAAAUGCAAGCUCAAGAAAGCUACUAACAUUUUUAACUUCCUAACUUACAAACUUAAAAGAAGCACUUCAGGCUUCUUUUGUCAAAUGCUACGUAGAAAGUAGAAGCAAUGCUGAAAGAAGUUAUGAAUUAGUUAUUUUAAGUGUCGCCAAGCACCCACUUUUCCUUCAAAGAAAAAAUAUAUUAUCCCAUGAAUAAGGGGGUUUGUUUGACACAAGCUCAUUCAACAAAUCCUAUGAUGGACUGCCUUCGUAACAGAACGAUAUUAUCUACGUUUGUUUCAGAAGAAAUUAGAAUGAAAUUACCCGUUUUUCCUGUAGUCAAGACACGAGGUACAAAGCAGAAUGAAAGCUCGACUCUGCCACUCAACUGACUAUUAACUAUGCAAUCGUAAAGGUCUACUUCUACUUCUAUCCAUAACAUUUGUUAUAUGUUUUAUGAUAAAGCGUUCUUGCAGCAUUCAACAUUAUAUAAAAUCUUUCGAGGAGCUACAACACUACAACAGUCUACUAGCUAGGUAGUAACAUCUUACAGAGCUUCAAUUCGAAAACUUUAUUUUUUUUUUCAUCAAGUGCAUUCAUCUGGUGAUGAUUUAGCAUUCUUUUUAUAGUUUUUCGAUUUACAGUUUUCUGGUACAAUUGCAGAGCUACCACUAAAAUAGCCCAAGAUUACUUUUUAGGUAUAAAUUAAAGAACAAAAUGUCUGUUUUGUUUAGUUAAAUUUUUGCAACUAGCUAGUUGUAAUCUCCAAUAGAUGUAAUUUACUUGCUUUGAAGAAAAUUAGGGCAUAAACACCAUGGAUCAUAGUUCAAUAUCAUCACUCUAGAAAGUUUUACAUAAUUAUGAUAUGUCAAUCGACCACCACAACUUUAUUGAUGAAACAUUACUAGAGCCUUCUUAUCCCAGUGCAUUUUACAUCAUAAACACAACUAUGUAUAAUAUAGAGAAAGGAACAUAUAGAUAAACUUGGCACAUAUAGCAGCUUGUACCAUAAAAUCUGCGCCUCUAAAGCACGCGUUGAUUGAACUGCUCUCACUGCACCCUGCAAAACACAUAUGUGUGGUAUUUAAACAUGUUAAAAUCCAACUAACUAACAGUUGCACAUAAUAUAUACCCUUGCAAAAUAAAAGAUGAUAACAUAAUUGCGUAAUAAUUACUUAGAACAGUCGGUGCCAGGGCUGAUCUUAUAAGGAAUGCUGAUUCCGCACUUUCCAGGGAGCCCAGCUGCCAAACCAUAGUUGAUGCCUUUGAUGCUCCCGGACACGGAUUUGAGGCAACUGCAUGCUUGUUUCCUGUCCAGCGGAGUCUUAGCCAUACCGUUCAGACUUUUGACCCCGCUGCAACACCCUGGUGGCAAAACACCGCCCAUCUUCAGGUAGUUCAUGCACUGAGAUAGUGAGCUUGUCACUUGUCCACAGGUCAGUCCUUCUACUGCAUCAGGCGCACUCAAGCUCAAUAGUGCCACCAGGCAGAUAAUUGCCACAGUCACCUUGGAAACUGUCAUGGUUGCCAUAGUUUGAAACAAACUUUCUCAAGAUC
rnacentral:lncRNA from 1 species